AAAAAUACUUUAUAGCAUACAUUAUAUUUAGCAUUAGAGUAGAUCUGUUGUGUUCUCCCUGAUAGCAUUAACAUGUUACAGUUAAAAUACUUGACCGUGGUCUGUUAUGCGAUAUCAGUCUCAGUAUGUUAUGGAGUUUAUUGUGGCGGCUAUUACUGUUCUACAGGUAGUUGUUGUACUAGAUUUGUGUGGGAGAGCUAUUGUUGCGAGAAAAGUACGACAACCACGACGAUUUCUCCCACGCCUUUUUAUCCAAGUUUUCGCAGCAGGACACCUUCUUCAAGUUUUUCCACAGAGACUCCUAGUGUUCCUCCCGUUCUCCCAAUAUUAGUUAUAUUUUUUGCGGCAGUAUUUACCAUUAUUUGUCUCUGUGUCAUGGGUAAGAGUGGGCAGGUGUCAGCAUUAGACUCGACUAGCCAAGAAACGCCAGGAUCAGACAGUACCAAUCACGUAUCCUCUACAUCUGGGAACACGGAGUCUAGUGGCGGUUUCUUUGGGAGUUCAAGCAACCAUGACAGUGGUUUUGGGGUUUCAAGCGAUAGUAAUUUUGGGACUUCAAGCAACGAUGACCACGGUAUUUCAUCUUUCGGCGAUUCAGAUUCUCUAGGGUAAAUUUCUUCACCGAUUUCCAUCAAUAUUUUAUUCAAUAAACUGAAUCUGGCUGAACAAUAGGACAAAGACUAUAUAAAUCCUCUACCAGACAGAGUUAAAACAUGAACACACAUCUUGGAGCGUAAUAUUAUGAUAUAUGUUGCAUUUUCAAGAUUAUUGUAUUUAGAUGUAUAUUAAAAUGUUAAAAUCA